AAUGAACGCUGGCGGCGCGCCUAAUACAUGCAAGUCGAGCGAGAAGACGUAGCAAUACGUUUGUAAAGCGGCGAACGGGUGAGGAAUACAUGGGUAACCUACCCUCGAGUGGGGAAUAACUAGCCGAAAGGUUAGCUAAUACCGCGUACGCUCCUUGGACUUCGGUUCAGGGAGGAAAGCGAUACCGUGGGUAUCGCGCUCUUGGUUGGGCUCAUGUCCUAUCAGCUUGUUGGUGAGGAACGGCUCACCAAGGCUUCGACGGGUAGCUGGUCUGAGAGGACGAUCAGCCACACUGGCACUGCGACACGGGCCAGACUCCUACGGGAGCAGCAGUAAGGAUAUUGCGCAAUGGGCGAAAGCCUGACGCAGCGACGCCGCGUGGGGGAUGAAGGUCUUCGGAUUGUAAACCCCUUUCGGGAGGGAAGAUGGAACGAGCAAUCGUUCGGACGGUACCUCCAGAAGCAGCCACGGCUAACUUCGUGCCAGCAGCC
rnacentral:rRNA from 1 species